rnacentral:rRNA from 1 species
UACGUAGGGGGCAAGCGUUGUCCGGAAUUAUUGGGCGUAAAGAGCUCGUAGGCGGUUUGUCGCGUCUGCUGUGAAAACUCGGGGCUUAACUCCGGGCCUGCAGUGGGUACGGGCAGACUAGAGUGCGGUAGGGGAGACUGGAAUUCCUGGUGUAGCGGUGAAAUGCGCAGAUAUCAGGAGGAACACCGGUGGCGAAGGCGGGUCUCUGGGCCGUAACUGACGCUGAGGCGCGAAAGCCAGGGGAGCAAACGGG